GCAAUCUGCUAAUUUUGUCGCCAUUUUUUGAUCUCGAAUGGGUUAUUUUUCCCUCCAAAAGUUGAAUACUAUCAAAUAAUCUUUCCUUUUACCAGAAAAUUUGAUUUUGUGCUUUCUGUUAAUCAAAGUUGUGCUUUAUUUACUUACCGUGCUUCAUUUGACCAAAGCUUUUGAUCCAAAAGUAAUUUUACUCUGGAAUGUUGAACAAUGCUGAUUUGGGGUUUUUCCCACCAUCUUCGCAUUUUGCUAAUAGUUGAUAGAGAUUGUGGUCCAAGCCUGAUUCUUUGAUGGUGGAGCGAUGGAGGAAAAAACCUUAUAAAAUGGAGUCGAGUUUGGUCAAAUUGGUGAAAGUCCAUUGUGAUAGUAGAUAUAAAACAAACGUAUCUCUCUUAUUCUUUGUUUAUCCUUUUGCUUUUUUCUUCUCCAAUUUUUACUAAUCUAAUUACCCACUAACAGAUAUCAUCAACUUGAAUCAACUUUAACUGUUUACUGAGUUUACUUUUUUUGCUCUCUCUCCUCGGUUUGCGCUUCUUGCUCUUUCCUCCUCCUCUAUCACCAACAUCACCAACAUCAUCAUCUCUUCGGCUUCUUUACAAUUAUCAUCAAUCAUCUCUCAAUCAGCUUUCUUUUAAUCGUCAUUUCCAGUGAUGAACCUGCUAAUAGUAAUCACGAUCACUCUAAUUAUAAAUGUGAUAUCAAUUGUUCAAUUUUAAAGCUUUCACUUUUUUUCUGGUUUUCUGGUUAAUUGUCAAUGAAAGCAAACACAAAAAUUCAAUUAAAUCGUCUAAUCCUUUUUUUCUUGAUUCUCUUUCAGUUAACGGAAGUGUUGAUCAUUAAACAAUUCAUCAAGGGCAGAUGACGACAUCAUCAUGAAAAUCAUUCACUGGAUGCUCUGAAUAAAAAGAGAGAAAGAGAACAGAAAAUGUAAACAAAAAUAAAUUGAUGGUUUGAUGGCCUUUAAUAUCAAUUAUUGACUCUGAUUAUCAACCAAGGCUGAAUCAUAUUUAUGAACUGAAAUUUAAUCAUAGUAGAUCAUCAACAUUAUCAUCAUAAUCGUCAUGAUAAUAACAAUGCCUUCAAUGCUGAUUACGGUUAUCUCCAAAGAGCCAAUUUCAAGCAAAUUUUCUUUGCCCUCAAGUGUUUAUCAAUUUGCUACUUUCCAUUAACAUCGCCAAACCAAAACAAAAAAAAUACAUCAGUAAUUACCAACAAAACCGACACAGGAACAACAAUAAGAUGAAAGCAAACAUUCUGGAAACCGAUGAAUUAAUCAAUGCGUAUUUACCUGUAACUAGCUAACUUUUUUUACAAGGAAACUGGAUAAGAUUACAGCAUAAAAUUAACUGAGACAUUCUAAAUGGUGGAUUGAUGAAUGAGCUUCCAGUGACGAGCACAGAAUGAAAGUUGAAAAGAAGAUGAGGCCUUAAAUAACAAUUACCGUAUUAGUUAACCUACAUUGAAUAGAGUAAAGAUUAUAACAACAAACAAUUUGGAGUGCAUUUUUAGUGUUAUAUUUGGCUAAAAACGAGUAAACUAAGGUUAAAUCCUCAUCUAUUAUUACUUCAAGUCUUCAUUCAAGUUAAUUCAUCUUAUUACUGGUUUCACCGGAAGUUGUGGUCCGGCACUACAAUUUUAUGAAUGAAUAAACAGUAUUUACGUGUGUAAAAACACCAACAUAAAACUACACCAACAAAAAAUGGUUAACGUAAAAAACAAUCGUAGGUGGAGGAGGAAAAGAAAUUCAAAGUCUGUCAGGAUCAGAUUUUCUCAAUGAAUUGUAAACCGCAAUUUUUAUCCUCGUCAUUAACUCAUUCACAACAUACCUGUAGGCGACUGGAUAAAAACAAACCAAUCAGUUAGUCACCAAGACCACUACCAACACCAGGAUCAUUCAACUUUGACAGCUUGAUCUCUUGGGCAUAAAGCAAUUCAUUUCUAGUUUUUUUUGUGACCAAUCCAAAAUCAUUGGUGAAAUAGCGUUGAUCAAGCUUUCAUCAACUUUCAUUUCUCGGAUCAGAUCAAGAGACACCCAAAAACCUCUAAUAUACCCAUGAAGCAUAACAUUGUUGCAAAUUUUUAGUCUUGAAGUUUUUUCUGGUUCCAUUUUUUUUUUGCUCUUCCUCAAGUUAGUUGAACUGUUGAUGAUAAAAAUCUUGAUUUUUAUCAUGACAGAAUCUCAUUCAGUGACUCUCAUUGUCAUUAACAAAUUGUCAGAAUCAUUGACUUGAAAGAAAGAGGGUGAGAAAAGAGAUGAAAGAUAUUGAACAGCAGUAAAAAAAAUUGGAACCAUGAUGAAAUAAUGGAGAUACAGAUGAACUUCC